UCUGAACAGUAGCCAGGGUCAGGAAGU
rnacentral:piRNA from 1 species